UGCAAAAGUGAUACGUUUCUUUUGAUUUUCUGUACGACUUGUCACUGUCUAGAGUGAAUAUUUUCUUUUGUUGUGUUGUCAAAUCGAAAGGAAAAUAAUAUGAGCCAUGGAACCAGGAUUUACAAAAGCAAACAUCGGUCUGUCAGGGCAUCUUAUGGCGAUGAUGCGAUAAGUUAAACCGUGAAAGAAAUAUAUUCACACCAAAAGGUAACAUAACAAGUACGUAAAAUACAAGAAAUGAAACCUAACCUCAAAAAAGUUUGUUUAUUAUUGCAUUUAAUCCUCGACCAACAUAAUACUGGUUUAUAAUCUUCAAAUUCAGGUAAAUACUUGCAUCACAUUGAUUUUCACAGAAAUUGAAGUGUAUUUAUUUCAUACUAAACAUAUAUGAUUUAAUCGUUUUACGACUAGGAAUUUCAGAUACAGUAAUUUUUUUUUGACGUUGACGUUUUAUUGCCAGCAUUUACCAUAUGAAGGAAGGUACUUGAAUGGACUGAAUGGGACGAAUAAUGAAACGAUUAAUUUAACAGGAGAUACAUUUACAUAUUUAAUAUCGACUAUGAUGACAUCUACAUUAUAUCAUUGGAUAUAAUUGACUUGAUAUUACAAUGUAUGUAGAGACUGAAACAAGAGAUAACAAAAAUAAUAAAAAAAUAAAUUCCAACCAGAAUUGCUAAAUGAAAAAUUCAUGAAGGGGUUCAAUUCGUGAUAUGUAUCAUACCAGAAUAAAAAAUUGACAUCGUUUUUGCUUGAACUUUGUGUGGAACCUCACGGUGAUUUGAAUACAUUCAUCUAGCAAUUUCAUCAGUCAGAUAGUUAAAAAAAUAUACAGGUAUUCAAAACAAUAUAUUUUAAACACUGUUUUCUGAACGGUACUUCUAUAAUCUAGCAUUAUCGAUAACAAAUAUGAAUGGUAGAGUCCUACUGAAAUAUAGCCGAUUUAUAUAAACCAAAUAAAUAGAUGGGUUGAGGAAGAGAGAGAGAGAGAGAGAGAGCUGUAAUCUCCUUAAGAACUCGACUCUCAGAAGUAGAAACUUGUGGAAGUUCAGAAUCAACAACCUGCCUGUUAAUGAGCGAUCCAUAGCACGAAAACCGGAUGAACUUCCUACCGAUCAUCACCGUUAGUAACUAAUAAACAAUCUAUAAAUAGAUAAUCUGGAAGUUUUGAUGAUUUUGGUAUACAAAUGUGCACUUUGUACACUAUAACAUACUAAAAUCUCCAAUGAAUAUUUAUAGUGUUACUGGAUCCUCAACUGAAUAUAUAACUGUAUUUACUAACUCGGAACGAAUUAUAUCAAUACACAAAACAUAAUGAGUAUUUUUAAUUUCAGAUUUGCAGAAUCUUAUCGCUGUAGAGUAAUUGGUAGUUUAUCAUACGUGAUGAUGUAUGAAUUUGAUAUGGAUAAUGAUUAAAGAUAAUGACUGAGA